rnacentral:rRNA from 1 species
UACGGAGGAUGCGAGCGUUAUCCGGAUUUAUUGGGUUUAAAGGGUGCGUAGGCGGACGCUUAAGUCAGCGGUAAAAUUGCAGGGCUCAACCUCGUCGAGCCGUUGAAACUGGGUGCCUUGAGUGGGCGAGAAGUACGCGGAAUGCGUGGUGUAGCGGUGAAAUGCAUAGAUAUCACGCAGAACUCCGAUUGCGAAGGCAGCGUACCGGCGCCCAACUGACGCUGAAGCACGAAGGCGUGGGUAUCGAACAGG